rnacentral:rRNA from 1 species
UACGUAGGGGGCUAGCGUUGUCCAGAUUUAUUGGGCGUAAAGAGCGUGUAGGCGGCCAGGUAGGUCCGCUGUGAAAGUCCGAGGCUCAACCUCGGAAUGUCGGCGGAAACCCUCUGGCUAGAGUCCGGAAGAGGAGAGUGGAAUUCCCGGUGUAGCGGUGAAAUGCGCAGAUAUCGGGAAGAACACCCGUGGCGAAGGCGGCUCUCUGGAACGGUACUGACGCUGAGACGCGAAAGCGUGGGGAGCGAACAGG